ensembl:lncRNA
UGAAAAUACACAACGCAGAGUCUGUCCGAACAGUUUAGAAAUAAGCUGAAAUCUAACAUUUGGUGCCGUGACACCGUCUUGAAGAGAGAGGAGUGAGAAGAUGAUUGCCUCUGAAGAUUGCCCUGUGACCGAGAAGAGUGCGCGCCCUGCCUGGGAAGACGUAUCAACGACUGCCCUGCUGAGGGACCCGCAUCCACAACGCGGCUGAACCAGCGCAUCUCCAUGCACCACGUGGGAAUCAACGGAGACACGGACACUUGAUGAGUCCUUGAACUGAACUGUGUCUGUGUUUGUCCUGAUGCCCUACUACGAACUUUCAUCCUCAUCCCCCAUCACACCUGCGGUGGCCAUCAACUGGAAAAUAACUCUGUUGCAUCUGCUACUCAAAACCAACUGAGUCAUGCAGUAUUGUCUGUGAUGUUGUUGUGCCAAGCAGAGGGAGGUGUCUCGACAGUUGACUUUCUUGAUUCUUUAAAAAUGUUUUAAUCAUGAGUAACCUAAUGAGUUUGUUAUUUUCUUUAUUAUAGUGGCCUACACCUGGUUUACUUGUGUAUGAUUUGAAUUUACUUGUCCUAUUGCCUUUUAUGCUUUCUUUCAUUGAUUUAUUUAAUUAUUAAUGGGUCACCAGAAAAUACACUGAAUUCUCUUUUUGUGGGUGAUCUUUAAACUAUGUUUAGUAUGAUCAAGAGGGAGGAAUGUAGAAUGUUGGUGUAUUUUAGUGUCUCUCUGUUGUUCACGUGUUAUUCAUCUAUCCCCUUUUUGUAUUAUACUCGCCCCAACCCUUUGGUUCGACGAGUAGAGGGUUUCGACAGCCAAGGAACAAGUCAUCGACCACCGGGUCCACUAUAGAUUAUUCAACCUAAGUCUGUAUCUCGCUGUAUUCCUGGAAAAUAAACCAUCUAUUCAACCCUCUAAUCCAACCUGCCAAGCUGCUUUGAUUUCGAC